UUUAAGGGCACACGGUGGAUGCCUUGGCAUAUCAAGCCGAUGAAGGACGUGAGAGGCUGCGUUAUGCCUCGGGGAGUUGCCAACUAAGCGUUGAUCCGAGGAUGUCCGAAUGGGGAAACCCAGCCGCAGUGAUGUGUGGUUACCUGCCGGUGAAUAUAUAGCCGGUGUGGAGGUUGACACGGGGAAGUGAAACAUCUCAGUACCCGUAGGAGAAGAAAACAAUUGUGAUUCCGUUAGUAGUGGCGAGCGAACGCGGAUGAUGGCUAAAACCUAUGUGUGUGAUACCCGGCAGGGGUUGCAUGUAGGUGGUUGUGGGGCAAUGGCGUUUGUGUUCUGCCGGACACUGGCAUGAUGAUCGUGGGUUAGUGGAAGUGGUGUGGAAACGCCUACCGUAGAAGGUGAAAGUCCUGUACGCGAAGACCUGUGGUGUUGUGUGGUUGUUGUACCCGAGUAGCAGCGGGCUCGUGAAAUCUGCUGUGAAUCUGCCGGGACCACUCGGUAAGCCUGAAUACUUGAUAUGACCGAUAGCGGAUUAGUACCGUGAGGGAAUGGUGAAAAGUACCCCGGGAGGGGAGUGAAAUAGUACCUGAAACCGUGUGCUUACAAUCCGUCAGAGCCGCCUUGUGUGGUGAUGGCGUGCCUUUUGAAGAAUGAGCCUGCGAGUCAGCGGCAUGUCGCGAGGUUAACCCGUGUGGGGAAGCCGUAGGGAAACCGAAUCCUAACGAGGGUGAUUUUAGUGGCAUGUCUUGGACCCGAAGCGGAGUGAUCUACCCAUGGCCAGUGUGAAGCGAUGGUAAGACGUCGUGGAGGCGCGAACCCACUUAGGUUAAAAACUGAGGGGAUGAGUUGUGGGUAGGGGUGAAAGGCCAAUCAAACUCCGUGAUAGCUGGUUCUCCCCGAAAUGCAUUUAGGUGCAGCGUUGUGUGUUUCUUACUGGAGGUAGAGCUACUGGAUGGUUUAGCGGGACCAACAUCUUAGCGACAUCAGCCAAACUCCGAAUGCCGGUAAGUUAGAGCACAGCAGUGAGACUGCGGGGGAUAAGCUUCGUAGUCGAGAGGGAAACAGCCCAGAUCGCCGGCUAAGGCCCCUAAGGGUGUACUAAGUGGAAAAGGAGGUGGGGUCGCGAAGACAGCCAGGAGGUUGGCUUAGAAGCAGCCAUCCUUGAAAGAGUGCGUAAUAGCUCACUGGUCGAGUGAUCCCGCGCCGACAAUGUAGUGGGGCUUAAGUACACCGCCGAAGCCGCGGCAAUGACAUCUUUUGAGGUGUUGUUGGGUAGGGGAGCGUCGUGCAUGUGUUGAAGCAGCCUGGUGACGGUGUUGUGGAAUGUGCGCGAGUGAGAAUGCAGGCAUGAGUAACGAAUGAUGAGUGAGAAACUCAUCCGCCGGAUGACUAAGGGUUCCUGGGUCAAGUUAAUCUUCCCAGGGUGAGUCGGGGCCUAAGGCGAGGCCGACAGGCGUAGUCGAUGGAUGACGGGUUGAUAUUCCCGUACCGGCGAA
rnacentral:rRNA from 14 species